rnacentral:tmRNA from 1 species
GGGGGCGCAAUGGUUUCGACGGAGAUUUUGACGCCUAAGGUAGCAUGCCGAGUCUUUUGUCAGCUCGUAAAAUUGGCAAAGCUUUAAAUAUAAUCGCAGACGAUUAUGAUUACGCUGUAGCAGCUUAAGGCUGCUUCCGUCCUCCUGAUAUCCCUCUUGCAGAUUCAGGUCACGGCGUCGACUUUGCAAGACCGCCCUCGGGGCUUCCUGAACCCCAUGGGUUGAAUUUCUCAGGAUACACCGGGCCGUAUCCAUCCUGGAGGAGCCGUCCCGGCCAAUUAUAAAGUUCAGGAUAAGCAUGUAGAAGCCCAGGUUGAUUGUUUUCGGACGCGGGUUCAAUUCCC